UACGAGUGCCCAAGCGUUAUCCGGAAUUAUUGGCGUAAAGGGUGUGUAGGUGGUUGUGUUAGUCUCAUGUCAAAUUCUUCGGCUUAACCGGGUACCGCAUGGGAUACGGCACAACUAGAGGAUGCGAGGGGUGAAUGGAACUCAUGGAGUAGGGUGAAAUCCGUUGAUAUCAUGGGAACACCAAAGCGAAGGCAGUUCACUGGCGCACUCCUGACACUGAACACGAAAGCGUGGGUAGCGAAUGGG
rnacentral:rRNA from 1 species